GAAGGCAUAGCUCAGUGGUAGAGUGCAUGCACGAAGUCCUGGGUUCAAUCCCCAGUACCCCCA
rnacentral:tRNA from 1 species